UGGGGAAUAUUGGACAAUGGGCGCAAGCCUGAUCCAGCCAUGCCGCGUGAGUGAUGAAGGCCCUAGGGUUGUAAAGCUCUUUCACCGGUGAAGAUAAUGACGGUAACCGGAGAAGAAGCCCCGGCUAACUUCGUGCCAGCAGCCGCGGUAAUACGAAGGGGGCUAGCGUUGUUCGGAUUUACUGGGCGUAAAGCGCACGUAGGCGGACUAUUAAGUCAGGGGUGAAAUCCCGGGGCUCAACCCCGGAACUGCCUUUAAUACUGGUAGUCUUGAGUUCGAGAGAGGUGAGUGGAAUUCCGAGUGUAGAGGUGAAAUUCGUAGAUAUUCGGAGGAACACCAGUGGCGAAGGCGGCUCACUGGCUCGAUACUGACGCUGAGGUGCGAAAGCGUGGGGAGCAAACAGG
rnacentral:rRNA from 1 species